rnacentral:rRNA from 1 species
GAUGAACGCUGGCGGCGUGCCUAAUACAUGCAAGUCGAGCGAACGGACGAGAAGCUUGCUUCUCUGAUGUUAGCGGCGGACGGGUGAGUAACACGUGGAUAACCUACCUAUAAGACUGGGAUAACUUCGUGAAACCGGAGCUAAUACCGUAUAAUAUUUUGAACCGCAUGGUUCAAAAGUGAAAGACGGUCUUGCUGUCACUUAUAGAUGGAUCCGCGCUGCAUUAGCUAGUUGGUAAGGUAACGGCUUACCAAGGCAACGAUGCAUAGCCGACCUGAGAGGGUGAUCGGCCACACUGGAACUGAGACACGGUCCAGACUCCUACGGGAGGCAGCAGUAGGGAAUCUUCCGCAAUGGGCGAAAGCCUGACGGAGCAACGCCGCGUGAGUGAUGAAGGUCUUCGGAUCGUAAAACUCUGUUAUUAGGGAAGAACAUAUGUGUAAGUAACUGUGCACAUCUUGACGGUACCUAAUCAGAAAGCCACGGCUAACUACGUG